UGACCUCAGCUCAAGCAAGAAUACC
rnacentral:rRNA from 1 species